GAAUCAGUCGUCAGUUUGUCCUAAGCGGAUUUGGUCGACACGUGUGUAGAUGUGUGAUUUGGGGACUCCUGCUAAUUUAUUGAGCCACAGCCAGAGCCGAAAAGAGUUUAGAACGUGACUAAAACAGACACCAAAACCAAACCAAAGAAAACGCAAAAAGUAAAAGCGGAAGAAGCGGAACAAAAAACCUUAGGAAAAAAGCAAAACUAAUUUGCACUUUGAACUGAAGUUGGUCCUGCGUCCUGCGGAAUUGUUGCUGCAAAAGUUUUUCCCCCCCCGGAUUUCAUUGGAAGACAACAGCCCAAGUGCGAAGUGCUCUACUCGACUCGUUUCGACGCGACUCCCGCUCUUAACGACUCCCGGGCGGCAUUGGCAUUGUCUGUCGGCACGGAGUUUCCUGCACACAAAAAGGUCCUGUGUCCGGGCU
rnacentral:sRNA from 1 species